UACGGAGGGGGCUAGCGUUGUUCGGAAUUACUGGGCGUAAAGCGUGCGUAGGCGGUUUGUUAAGUCAGAUGUGAAAUCCCCGGGCUUAACCUGGGAACUGCGUUUGAAACUAUCAGGCUAGAGUGUGGCAGAGGGGGGUAGAAUUCCACGUGUAGCAGUGAAAUGCGUAGAGAUGUGGAGGAAUACCGAUGGCGAAGGCAGCCCCCUGGGCCGAUACUGACGCUCAGGCACGAAAGCGUGGGGAGCAAACAGG
rnacentral:rRNA from 1 species